ensembl:lncRNA
CCGCCCCCCCUCCGCGGUUCAAGUUUCUGCGGCCGGAGGACGCGGCCUCCGCCAAUCCCAGGGCUACAGGGCGCUUUUAAAAUGCAGUCACUGUGUCCGGGGAGUUACGGCUGCCCUCAUCUCCAGCCUGUGUUCUCCAUUCCACCGAAAAGACAGCGUGAAGAGCUUGCCUCCUAGACCCGCCCUUACCUGUCACACCUCCACGCCUUGGGCCACAGUGUUCCCUGUGCCUCGGAUUCCCUGUCCCUCUUCCUCACCUGGCUGACUCCCACACUGCCUGGACACAGAUGGCUCCCUGGAACAUGAGCUGAGACGGUUCUAGAGUCCCAAGGCUCCCUGACCCGGGUUCCAGUGCAGCC